rnacentral:lncRNA from 1 species
CGAGGUCAGGAUAUCGAGACCAUCCUGACUAACGCGGUGAAAUCCCGUCUCUACUAAAAAUACAAAAAAUUAGCCGGGCGUGGUGGCGGACGCCUGUAGUCCCAGCUACUCCGGAGGCUGAGGCAGGAGAAUGGCGUGAACCUGGGAGGCGGAGCUUGCAGUGAGCCGAGAUCGCACCAUUGCACUCCAGCCUGGGCGACAGAGCGAGACUCCGUCUCAAAAAAAAAAAAAAAAAAAAAAAAGAAGAACAAUUUGGCCAGCGUGGCCAACAUGGUGAAACCCUGUUUCUACUAAAAACACAAAAACAUUAGCCAGGCGUGGUGGCACACGCCUAUAUAAUCCCAGCUACACGGGAGGCUGAGGCAGGAGAAUCACUUUAACCCGAGAGGAGGAGGUUGCAGUGAGCCGAAAUCGUACCACUGCACUCCAGCCUGGGUAACCCAGCGAGACUACGUCUCAAGAAAAUUACAUUACAUUACAUUAAAAUAGUUUGGGCCAGACACAGUGGCUCACAUCUGUAAUCCCAGCAGUUUGGGAGGCCGAGGUGCCUGGAUCAGCUGAGGCCAGAAGUUCGAUACCAGCCUGGCCAACAUGGCAAAACCCUGUGUCUACUAAAAAUACAAAAAUUAGCUCGGUGUGGUGGCGGGCACCUACAGGCUGGGAUUACAUCCCAGCUUCUAAGGAGGCUGAAGCAGGAGAAUCGCUUGAACCUGGCAGGCGGAGGUUGCCGUGAACUGAGAUCGCGAUACUGCACUCCAGCCUGGCUGACAAAGCGAGACUUCGUCUCAAAAAAAAAAAAAAAAAAAAAAAAAAAAAAAGCAAAUUAAACCAGGUGCUAAUUUUUAUCUUGUCAAAUAUCUGAAACGAUUUAGAGAAUGGAACACUCUCAUUGUUCGUAGGAGUGAGAAUUGGUACAAUUUCAUCAAAGAGCAACUUGGUAACAGCUAUCAAAAUGUUUAAAUGUAUUUUAUCUACUCCUUGACCUAGCAAUUCUACUUCUAGAAAUGUACCCUACAGAUAUCCUGGCAAAAAUAUGUAAAGAUCCACAUUUUUAAAUGUUGAUUGCAAUAUUGUUUGCAAAUGGUAAAAGACUGCCGGACGCGGUGGCUCAUGCCUGUAAUCCCGGCACUUUGGGAGGCCGAGGCAGGUGGAUCACCUGAGGUCAGGAGUUCUAGACCAGCCUGGCCAACGUGGUAAAACCCCGUCUCUACUAAAAAUACAAAAAUUAGCUGGGCCUGGUGGCAGGCGCCUGUAAUCCCAGCUACUAGGGGAGCCGAGGCAAGAGAAUCGCUUGAACCCGGGAUGCGGAGGUUGCAGUGAGCUGAGACCACGCCGUCGCAUUCCAGCCUGGGGGACAAGAGCGAGACUUCGUCUCAAAAAAAAAGAAUAUGGUAAAAGACUAACGACCUACGUGUCCCUCAAUAAAGAACCUGUGAAAUUAUGAAAAAUACAUUCAAUGGAAUACCAUAUAGCCAUGAAAAAAAUGAGUUAGAUCUAUAUGUUCUGACUUGUAAAGAUCUCCAAUAUAUAUUAAAUGAAAAAGGGCACAAUGCAAGAUGCGGAUGGUAUGAUUCCAGUUGUGUACACACACAGACACACACAACACAUCUGCUAAUUAAGUUUUAACAUACUGCAUGUAAGUAAUAUAUACUAUAUGUUUAUGUUCCAUGUUAUAUAUUGUUUUGUAUGUUAUAUAAUUAUACCUUAGAACUACAUAGUAUAAAAUAAAUUAUAGGUAUUAUAGUAUUUAUAAUGCAGUAUGGGGCCAGGGAUGGUGGCUCAGGCCUGUAAUCCCAGCACUUUGGGAGGCCGAGGAAGGAGGCUUAAGGCCAGGAGUUUGAGAGCAGCCUGGGCAACAAGCA